CCUACGGGGGGCAGCAGUGGGGAAUAUUGGGCAAUGGGCGCAAGCCUGACCCAGCAACGCCGCGUGAAGGAAGAAGGCUUUCGGGUUGUAAACUUCUUUUGUCAGGGACGAAGCAAGUGACGGUACCUGACGAAUAAGCGACGGCUAACUACGUGCCAGCAGCCGCGGUAAGACGGAGGGAGCAAGCGUUAUCCGGAUUUAAUGGGUGUAAAGGGAGUGUAGGCGGGGAAGCAAGUCAGAUGUGAAAACCACGGGCUCAACCUGUGGUCUGCAUUUGAAACUGUUUUUCUUGAGUGCUGGGGAGGCAAGCGGAAUUCCGUGUGUAGCGGUGAAAUGCGUAGAUAUACGGAGGAACACCAGUGGCGAAGGCGGAUUGCUGGACAGUAACUGACGCUGAGGCGCGAAAGCGUGGGGAGCAAACAGGAUUAGAUACCCUAGUAGUC
rnacentral:rRNA from 1 species